CCACCGCGUUCCCUCUUGUUCAACUAGGGUGUACAGCUUUUUUAGCUCACUUUCCUCCCAUGCAUUCCUAUCUUUCGGAUCCAACGGCUUGUAGAUUUCCUUCAAAUAACGAAUAAUUCCUUUUCUUGAAAUAGAAGUAGGCAGCAAUUCGCGUAGUUCGUUGUAUAGAAAGUUGAUAUUUGUAUGUCUUAAGCUUGAAGAACUCAUCCGGAAGCCAAACUCUUGUAAAUCUACGCCUUCAUUAUUACAAUAAGACAAAACUACUUUUUGAAUCACUUGUGCGUCUUCUAGAGAAAAAUUAAGUUGCGAAUCCUCUUCAGCAGCCAAGCUUCCAAUGUCUAUCUUUUCGUAACCGGCGACUUGAAAAAAAGCACGCAUGUACUUUAGUAAACUAUUUUCUUUUCGAUUCAGAAAAGAUGCUACUGACUCUAAAAACCCUUGAAGUCGACUCCCAGCAUGUUCGUCUUCCAAUAUCUCGAUCAUUUGCUCCCGUGAUAUAGACCGAAUCGUUAACAAUUCAUCAAUCCUUGCUUGAAACCACUUUUCAUGCUCCUCUGUCCAUGCAUCCUUUCUUUUCUUUGCAUUGAAAGAGUUUGUGCUUUCAACUUUGCUUUCAGAAUCGUCAGAAGAGGAUCGCGCAAUUUUACGCUUUGAUGCAUGAUCACUACAUGUUUUGACAACGACAGAGGAAAGUGGACUAUUUUCCAAUAACUGUCGUGUAGCUUCCAUACAAUCUUUAUGGUCAUCUGACACAGGCUCACUAGUUCCUCCUAAGGAGUGAGCACGUGAAGGCUUAUGUAUAAGUGACCCCAUUUCAAACUCAAACUCAUUAUCUUCAUCAAAUUCGUAAACAUCUUUUCUUUUCAUAGAUUUCAUUAAACUUCCAGGCCGAGAUUUAUUAUUAGUGAUAUUGAAGGUAUUGUGAUCUGUAAACAUAACGUCUCUUUCUUGCAUUGCACCCUUACUGCUACAUGAAAGUGUAGGACUUUCCAAAUUUGAGCGUGUUCCCUGGUUUUCAUUUAUUGUCAUGUCGAUAGCUAACAUCAUUAAUUUACAAUGCCUUCUAAUAACGGGUUAGCCAAUUCAUGAUGAAGUAAGGACGCCAAGGGAAAUUUAUGAAUGUUUAACUAUUUUUGUUUGAGAGUUUCAACGGAUUUAUCUAUUUUUUUUCAUGCUUUUUAAACUUUCAUAAGAUUAUUAUUACGAGAACAUAAAAUUAAACAACCAUCAUACGGUUUCUGUUCAACCUCUUCAAGAACCCAUUCAAAUAUCCUUGCAU
rnacentral:misc_RNA from 1 species